rnacentral:rRNA from 1 species
CGAACGUGGGGAACCGUGCCCCAUAGUCUGGGAUACCACUUGGAAACAGGUGCUAAUACCGGAUAAGAAAGCGGAUCGCAUGAUCAGCUUUUAAAAGGCGGCGUAAGCUGUCGCUAUGGGAUGGCCCCGCGGUGCAUUAGCUAGUUGGUAAGGUAAAGGCUUACCAAGGCGAUGAUGCAUAGCCGAGUUGAGAGACUGAUCGGCCACAUUGGGACUGAGACACGGCCCAAACUCCUACGGGAGGCAGCAGCA